rnacentral:rRNA from 1 species
UACGUAGGCAGCGAGCGUUGUUCGGAGUUACUGGGCGUAAAGAGUGCGUAGGCGGUUUUCUAAGUUUGGUGGGAAAUCUCCCGGCUCAACUGGGAGGGUGCGCCGAAGACUGGAAGGCUUGAGUAUGGGAGAGGUAAGCGGAAUUCCUGGUGUAGCGGUGAAAUGCGUAGAUAUCAGGAGGAACACCUGCGGUGUAGACGGCUUACUGGACCAUGACUGACACUCAGGGACGAAAGCUAGGGGAGCGAAUGGG